UACGUAGGCAGCAAGCGUUGUUCGGAGUUACUGGGCGUAAAGGGUGCGUAGGCGGCGCGGUAAGUCGGGUGUGAAAGCCCUGGGCUCAACCUGGGAAUUGCAUUGGAUACUGGCAGGCUAGAGUGCGGUAGAGGAUGGCGGAAUUCCCGGUGUAGCAGUGAAAUGCGUAGAGAUCGGGAGGAACAUCUGUGGCGAAGGCGGCCAUCUGGACCAGCACUGACACUGAGGCACGAAAGCGUGGGGAGCAAACAGG
rnacentral:rRNA from 1 species